GAUGAACGCUGGCGGCGUGCCUAAUACAUGCAAGUCGAGCGAACAGACAAGGAGCUUGCUCCUUUGACGUUAGCGGCGGACGGGUGAGUAACACGUGGGUAACUUACCUAUAAGACUGGGAUAACUUCGGGAAACCGGAGCUAAUACCGGAUAAUAUUUCGAACCGCAUGGUUCGAUAGUGAAAGAUGGUUUUGCUAUCACUUAUAGAUGGACCCGCGCCGUAUUAGCUAGUUGGUAAGGUAACGGCUUACCAAGGCGACGAUACGUAGCCGACCUGAGAGGGUGAUCGGCCACACUGGAACUGAGACACGGUCCAGACUCCUACGGGAGGCAGCAGUAGGGAAUCUUCCGCAAUGGGCGAAAGCCUGACGGAGCAACGCCGCGUGAGUGAUGAAGGUCUUCGGAUCGUAAAACUCUGUUAUUAGGGAAGAACAUACAUGUAAGUAACUAUGCACGUCUUGACGGUACCUAAUCAGAAAGCCACGGCUAACUACGUGCCAGCAGCCGCGGUAAUACGUAGGUGGCAAGCGUUAUCCGGAANUUAUGGGCGUAACGCGCGUAGCGGUUUUUUAGUCUGAUGUGAAAGCCCACGGCUCACCCGUGGAGGGUCAUUGGAAACUGUAAAACUUGAGUGCAGAAGAGGAAAGUGGAAUUCCAUGUGUAGCGGUGAAAUGCGCAGAGAUAUGGAGGAACACCAGUGGCGAAGGCGACUUUCUGGUCUGUAACUGACGCUGAUGUGCGAAAGCGUGGGGAUCAAACAGGAUUAGAUACCCUGGUAGUCCACGCCGUAAACGAUGAGUGCUAAGUGUUAGGGGGUUUCCGCCCCUUAGUGCUGCAGCUAACGCAUUAAGCACUCCGCCUGGGGAGUACGACCGCAAGGUUGAAACUCAAAGGAAUUGACGGGGACCCGCACAAGCGGUGGAGCAUGUGGUUUAAUUCGAAGCAACGCGAAGAACCUUACCAAAUCUUGACAUCCUUUGACAACUCUAGAGAUAGAGCCUUCCCCUUCGGGGGACAAAGUGACAGGUGGUGCAUGGUUGUCGUCAGCUCGUGUCGUGAGAUGUUGGGUUAAGUCCCGCAACGAGCGCAACCCUUAAGCUUAGUUGCCAUCAUUAAGUUGGGCACUCUAAGUUGACUGCCGGUGACAAACCGGAGGAAGGUGGGGAUGACGUCAAAUCAUCAUGCCCCUUAUGAUUUGGGCUACACACGUGCUACAAUGGACAAUACAAAGGGCAGCGAAACCGCGAGGUCAAGCAAAUCCCAUAAAGUUGUUCUCAGUUCGGAUUGUAGUCUGCAACUCGACUACAUGAAGCUGGAAUCGCUAGUAAUCGUAGAUCAGCAUGCUACGGUGAAUACGUUCCCGGGUCU
rnacentral:rRNA from 1 species